UUACGGCCGUAUCACGUUGGAACACCGGUUCUCGUACGAUCGCCGAAGUUAAGCAACAUUGAGCUUGGUCAGUACCUGUAUGAGUGACUGCUUGGUAAAGCCAGGUGCUGUAAG